AACGAACGCUGGCGGCAUGCCUAACACAUGCAAGUCGAACGAGAUCCUUCGGGGUCUAGUGGCGCACGGGUGCGUAACGCGUGGGAAUCUGCCCUUAGGUUCGGAAUAACAGUUAGAAAUGACUGCUAAUACCGGAUGAUGACGUUAAGUCCAAAGAUUUAUCGCCUGAGGAUGAGCCCGCGUAGGAUUAGCUAGUUGGUGUGGUAAAGGCGCACCAAGGCGACGAUCCUUAGCUGGUCUGAGAGGAUGGUCAGCCACACUGGGACUGAGACACGGCCCAGACUCCUACGGGAGGCAGCAGUGGGGAAUAUUGGACAAUGGGCGCAAGCCUGAUCCAGCAAUGCCGCGUGAGUGAUGAAGGCCUUAGGGUUGUAAAGCUCUUUUACCCGAGAUGAUAAUGACAGUAUCGGGAGAAUAAGCCCCGGCUAACUCCGUG
rnacentral:rRNA from 1 species